GAGAGGAUACAGAGCUCUUCAUCCUGUUGUGCUGCUGUAAUCGGGGUCUUUCCCAUUAGUCUUCCUCUGUAUGAAGACUCCAUUGUGCUCCUUAGCCCUGCAGUGUGCUUCUGGGUCUGUUUCCCCAGCCUGAGCAAUGUGCUGUGUUUAAUUCAUCCAGCACAGCAGUACUUGCAUAUUAUCUUAAAUCUGAGGCAUUUGGGGGGUUGUUUUGAAACUUGUUUUGAAACCUGAAUGAGUGGCACAGGGAAGUACUGUAUUUUAAGCACUAAGAGCUUUUGCAUGUGGACUCCAGAAGAAGCAAUGCAGAGUUCAAGGGGGAUAUCCUCAUUAACAUUUUGGGUUCUUACUUAUGCAAUUCUGAUAUAUUUCCAAUAAGUUGUAAUUAUCAAUUAAUAGGAACAAAGUUAUGUUCUGGCUUGCUCCUUCUUGUGACCACACUUAGCACAACUGCAAGGAAAUCUGUAAUAGAAGCUUUGAAAUAACAAGUCUUAAACUUUUGCAUCUAUUUCCGAAAUUAGUAUUGAAAUACAUUUUCAUGAGACUUGUGCACAGCCCUGCUCCAAGUUGUUAAAGCAGGACAUUUUACUCCAACUGAAUUUUCACAUAUAGCUCUGUUCCUGUUAAAUAUCAGUACCAGGCAGUCUGAGGAACAUGGAGGAGGCUGCUUUUCUGCUUAUAUAUCCUCACCACAACCAGGCUGAGAGUAGCAAUGUCAGGAAUCACUAAUAGCACUAGGUCGUGAGUGGGGAUCCUAGUUAUCUUAGUAGCAAUACGAUAAAGAUGAAGCCUGGAUUUGGCAGGCCUAGCAGAAGAACGUGCUUUGUUUGAGUAUGUGUCUUUUAAAACCAUACGAAGAGGUGACAGGACUCCGGAGCAGAACUGCAUUUACUCAAAGCUGAAGUAUGAAAAUGAGGAACUUAUGUUCUUGAACCAGCUAGUUUUUAACUGCGAGGUUACUGUUAAAAUGUUAAAAUGCUGAUGAAGACGGGCUUCUGUAGAAUCCUGCUGCUGCCUUAUGAAUACAAAAGGGAAUCCUAAACCAAGCUUUAGUAUGAGAUGAGGAGUUGGAGCUCUGCUCCCUGGUGUUUGAGUCACCCAAGUACUGUGCUGGAGAGCUGGUAGUUACUGCUGCUGCUGGAAGUGAUUUCUUUGCUGCUGAGCUCUGUGGUUGUAACUCCUCCCUCACCUCUGUGACUGAAGCUGGCGCUCAGUCUUCAUGUAAUUACAGAAUAUCCAACGUUGGACAGGUGCCAAGAAGAUGGUAUAAUCAAAUCAAGAUGUGAUGUAGAGCAGGGUACCCAGAUGGCUCUGGAAUAUUUCCAAGCAGGAGACUCCACAGCCUCUGAGCAGCCUGUUUUAGUGCUCUGUCACCUGCACGGCACGGAAGUGCUUCUGGUGUUCCUAGGAUCACUUAUGUCGGAAAAGACCCUUAAGAUCAAGUCGAGCCAUCAUCCUAAUGCUAAACUUGUCUCUUGUCCCUUCACUGGGCACAAAUGGGAAGGCUCCAUGGUCUUUAUACCCUUAUCAAGUGUUUAAAAAUAUUGAUAGAAUCGCCCCCAGCCCUCUCCCCAGCUGUCUCAAUCUGUCCUCAUAUGAAGGGGCUUCCAGUUCCUUCAUCACUGGCUGCUACUGGAUUGUCACUGCACUUGGCAAUUCCCCGUUGAAUAUCAAGAGGUUCAUGUCAGCCAUUUUCCUAGGCUGUCAAGGUCAUCUUGGGAUGACCCUCCGGUGUUUUUGAUGCCUGUCCCAUCAUCUAGGUCAUUAAUAAAGAUUUUGAACAUGACUGGCCCCAGUGCUUGCAUAUACUGCUCAUUACUGGGCUCCAAGUAGUGUCUAUGCCACUGAUCACAACCUUCUGGGCUUCAGUCACUGUCUGCUUACCCAGCCUGUGCUUUGGCUUGUCAAUGAGGGUAUUAUGUCAGAUAACAUCAAAACUGUCAAGUCAUGUUAGGAAGUAUCCACUGCUUGCCCCGUGUCCCCUGGGCUGGUCACGUCGUCACAGAGGGCUGUCACACCAGGCCAGUUAAGGCCUUACACAUCAUCCCUCCAUAUAGGUGUGCCAACUAUUCCCGGUCACCAUCUUGU
ensembl:lncRNA